rnacentral:rRNA from 1 species
UACGUAGGGUGCGAGCGUUGUCCGGAAUUAUUGGGCGUAAAGAGCUCGUAGGCGGUGUGUCACGUCGGCCGUGAAAACCUGCAGCUUAACUGUGGGCGUGCGGGCGAUACGGGCAGACUGGAGUACUGCAGGGGAGACUGGAAUUCCUGGUGUAGCGGUGAAAUGCGCAGAUAUCAGGAAGAACACCCGUGGCUAAGGCGGUUCUCUAGUACGGUACUGACGCUGAGACGCGAAAGCGUGGGGGGCGAACAGG